rnacentral:rRNA from 1 species
GACGAACGCUGGCGGCGUGCUUAACACAUGCAAGUCGAACGGAAAGGCCCUGCUUUUGUGGGGUGCUCGAGUGGCGAACGGGUGAGUAACACGUGAGUAACCUGCCCUUGACUUUGGGAUAACUUCAGGAAACUGGGGCUAAUACCGGAUAGGAGCUCCUGCUGCAUGGUGGGGGUUGGAAAGUUUCGGCGGUUGGGGAUGGACUCGCGGCUUAUCAGCUUGUUGGUGGGGUAGUGGCUUACCAAGGCUUUGACGGGUAGCCGGCCUGAGAGGGUGACCGGCCACAAUAGGCCGGAGAUACGGCCCAGACUACAACGGGAGGCAGGAGUGGGGAAGAGUGCACAAGGGGCGGAAGGCUGAUGCAGCAAAGCCGCGUGGGGGAAGACGGGCUUCGGGUUGUAAACCGAUUUCGCCUGUGACGAAGCGUGAGUGACGGUAAUGGGUAAAGAAGCACCGGCUAACUACGUG